rnacentral:rRNA from 1 species
ACUCCUACGGGAGGCAGCAGUGGGGAAUAUUGCACAAUGGGCGCAAGCCUGAUGCAGCCAUGCCGCGUGUAUGAAGAAGGCCUUCGGGUUGUAAAGUACUUUCAGCAGUGAGGAAGGAUGGAAUAUGUUAAUAGCAUAUUCAUUUGACGUUUAGCUGCAGAAGAAGCACCGGCUAACUCCGUGCCAGCAGCCGCGGUAAUACGGAGGGUGCGAGCGUUAAUCGGAAUUACUGGGCGUAAAGCGCAUGCAGGUGGUUUGUUAAGUCAGAUGUGAAAGCCCGGGGCUCAACCUCGGAAUUGCAUUUGAAACUGGCAAACUAGAGUACUGUAGAGGGGGGUAGAAUUUCAGGUGUAGCGGUGAAAUGCGUAGAGAUCUGAAGGAAUACCGGUGGCGAAGGCGGCCCCCUGGACAGAUACUGACACUCAGAUGCGAAAGCGUGGGGAGCAAACAGGAUUAGAUACCCUGGUAGCUACGAGU